rnacentral:RNase_P_RNA from 1 species
UAAAGUAGUCGGAUAAUCGCGUUUGAAAGUAAUUUCAAAUGAGGAAAGUCCGUGCAUCCCAGAACAGGCCUCCGGAGAAACUCCGGGCGGUGUGAGCCGGCGGAUAGUGCCACAGAAAUGUAGACUGCCGAUGGAUUUAACAAAAUCACAGGCGAUGGUGCAACGGUGAGUUAAGAGCUUCACCAGCGAAGUCGGAAGGCUUUGGCUAGGUAAACCCAGGUCGGAUGCAAGAUUGAGUUCAAAGGUUAUAAAGGUUGUUCGCCCACUUUGAGAAAAAAUCGCUAGAGCUUGAGAGUAAUCUCAAGACCAGACAGAUGAUUAUCUAAAACAGAACACGGCUUACGGACUGCUUUAUUUU